GGGCCGGAGCCUACAGGACUGGCAGAUGUGAUGUCACGGUAAAGGGCCGGAGCCUACAGGACUGGCAGAUGUGAUGUCACCGUAAAGGGCCGGAGCCUACAGGACUGGCAGAUGUGAUGUCACGGUAAAGGGCCGGAGCCUACAGGACUGGCAGAUGUGAUGUCACCAUAAAGGGCCGGAGCCUACAGGACUGGCAGAUGUGAUGUCACGGUAAAGGGCCGGAGCCUACAGGACUGGCAGAUGUGAUGUCACGAAAUAUAGGACUGGCAGAUGUGAUGUCACCGAUGUGAUGUCACCGUAAAGGGCCGGAGCCUGCAGGACUGGCAGAUGUGAUGUCACCGUAAAGGGCCGGAGCCUACAGGACUGGCAGAUGUGAUGUCACCGAUGUGAUGUCACCGCAAAGGGCCGGAGCCUGCAGGACUGGCAGAGCCUACAGGAUUCUGAGGAAACCGUGACAUCCCAGAUUAGUUCCUGCUAAUGAAACAUGUCGUCUGACCUCAUCCCUGAUUCAUCCCCUCUUCCUGUAUUGAAGCCGACAUCAUCUGACGGUCGACACACUUAACCAAUGGUUGGGCUGUGCUCUCGCAGUGGUCAGACCUGAUCAAACGGCCGAGUUCCAUGCAUUUACGUUGCAUUUUCUGAACGCUGAACACAUUGUGGCAUCGUCCAAACGUUGUUUCUGAACUGGAGACACCGAGAAAGACACCGAGGCCGG
ensembl:lncRNA